UACAGAGGUCUCGAGCGUUAGGCGGAAUCACUGGGCUUAAAGCGUGUGUAGGCGGAUUGGUAAGUACCUUGUGAAAUCCCUCGGCUUAACCGGGGAACUGCGUCCGAUACUGGAUGGCUUGAGUUCGGGAGAGGGAUGCGGAAUUCCAGGUGUAGCGGUGAAAUGCGUAGAUAUCUGGAGGAACACCGGUGGCGAAGGCGGCAUCCUGGACCGACACUGACGCUGAGGAGCGAAAGCCAGGGGAGCAAACGGG
rnacentral:rRNA from 1 species